UAGGGAAUCUUCGGCAAUGGGGGGAACCCUGACCGAGCAACGCCGCGUGAGUGAAGAAGGUUUUCGGAUCGUAAAGCUCUGUUGUUAAGGAAGAACGAGUGUGAGAAUGGAAAGUUCAUGCUGUGACGGUACUUAACCAGAAAGGGACGGCUAACUACGUGCCAGCAGCCGCGGUAAUACGUAGGUCCCGAGCGUUGUCCGGAUUUAUUGGGCGUAAAGCGAGCGCAGGCGGUUAGAAAAGUCUGAAGUGAAAGGCAGGGGCUCAACCAUUGUAGGCUUUGGAAACUGUUUAACUUGAGUGCAGAAGGGGAGGGUGGAAUUCCAUGUGUAGCGGUGAAAUGCGUAGAUAUAUGGAGGAACACCGGUGGCGAAAGCGGCUCUCUGGUCUGUAACUGACGCGGAGGCUCGAAAGCGUGGGGAGCGAACAGG
rnacentral:rRNA from 1 species